CCUACGGGUGGCAGCAGUGAGGAAUAUUGGUCAAUGGGCGCGAGCCUGAACCAGCCAAGUCGCGUGAGGGAAGACGGUCCUAUGGAUUGUAAACCUCUUUUGUCGGGGAGCAAAAGACGCCACGCGUGGCGUUCCGAGAGUACCCGAAGAAAAAGCAUCGGCUAACUCCGCGCCAGCAGCCGCGGUAAUACGUAGGUGGCAAGCGUUGUCCGGAUUUACUGGGUGUAAAGGGCGUGUAGCCGGGCUGACAAGUCAGAUGUGAAAUCCGGGGGCUCAACCCCCGAACUGCAUUUGAAACUGUUGGUCUUGAGUAUCGGAGAGGCAGGCGGAAUUCCUAGUGUAGCGGUGAAAUGCGUAGAUAUUAGGAGGAACACCAGUGGCGAAGGCGGCCUGCUGGACGACAACUGACGGUGAGGCGCGAAAGCGUGGGGAGCAAACAGGAUUAGAUACCCCAGUAGUC
rnacentral:rRNA from 1 species